rnacentral:rRNA from 1 species
AGAAUGAACGCUGGCGGCAUGCCUAACACAUGCAAGUCGAACGAAGCCUUCGGGCUUAGUGGCGCACGGGUGCGUAACGCGUGGGAAUCUGCCCCUCGGUUCGGAAUAACAGUUAGAAAUGACUGCUAAUACCGGAUGAUGACGAAAGUCCAAAGAUUUAUCGCCGAGGGAUGACGCCCGCGUAGGAUUAGCUUGUUGGUGAAGUAAAGCUCACG